UUUUUAAGCCACGACCUUUUUAAGCAACCAACAAUCAACAUGUCGCGACAGCAGCGAUUUGUUGGGAAAUUAACAUCUCGCUCGCAUAGCUACGAUAAUGAGAGGCUUAAGGAACGAGAAGACAAAUUAAAUGCCACGUAAUUAGUCUUGCUGAUCGACAGCUCCCAGUUUCUCUUAGCAAAGAAUCGAAGUUUCUUUUUUUACGAAAUCGAAUUGAUCAUUGACACGUGAGUACAUUAUAACUAAACUUUCACUACGAGUGUACCAUUAUGUUACUAGACGUAUUUAUACACAACGUUUUCAGUUUUCAUCGAGAUUUAAAUGCAAAU